GUAGGCAUCUGCCCACCAAGAACCUCCAAAAAAAGCUCCAGGUCAUUUCCCCCAUGGUACAGAAGUGCUGCCAGCCAUGCAGAACCGCCACGGUGCCCAGGUGUUACCUCCUUGGCCGGCAGCCGGGCUCUGGAGAAGCAGCCUCCAGCUCAGGAAGGUGGCAAUGCCCAGGGCAGCUGAGAUGACGAGGCGGGGAAGGAAACGCAUUUUUCGGGUGCCGCUGUGGCGCUGGGAGCCGAACGCCGUGCCGGUGCUGAGGUGCAUUUGAUUUAAAUCUUUCCAAACAGGCUGGAGACAAGGGAAGCGGCUUCUUGUCACCUACAGCACCACAUUUCCGCAGAACAAAAACGCGAUGUUACGAAUGAAAGGGCCUGGGAACACUGAAAAAUCACUUGAGAAGAAAAAUGAUGCAAACGAGCAAAUCGCCAUCCUUUCACACGCAGCCACAAUUAAAGCAGCAGCAGAUCCUGGAUUUGAGGCAGUUUCAGUCUGAAAAAGCCCAAAGGAUUUCAGCUAUGCUUCCUGGUGCAGGGCAUAAAAUGCGGCAGCUGUUAAAAGUCACGCUCUGGUGCUCCACCUGCCCCGUGUGCUGAAUUCAAAAGCAGGCAAUGAAACUCUUAACUAACAGGGCAAGGCAGGCACAAAAUGGAGGACCAGAGACCUCCGUGCCUGAAGGAAAGGUCCAGGAGGGGUGAAGAGCUGUUUCAGCCCAGCAGCCGCCUGACUCUACGAGCCUUUGUCUUCCCCUACACCUAUUUCCACAGAAUGCAGUGCGUGGGAACAAAUCACAUUUUGGGAGCUCUUUGGAAGCAGAGAUUUCAGAAGCACGAUUGCUAACUCUUACCUAAGACCUUGCAGCAGGUUUUGCCUCUGAGAGCUCCUGACCCCAACCGGUCGCUGCACCCUGGUUGAGCAACCUCAGCUGAUUCUCCUGGUGAAGAUGAAGGAGACAAAGAAGAUGGGUGAUGGAGAGGUGGCUCCCUUGGGAAAGACACCUGCAAGCAGGCAUCCAUCGCUCGCUUCAGCCCCCGAGGGAGGGCAAGCCAACAGGGAAGGGGUGGGAAGAUGCUGUCAACCCCAUGCCAAAACAACGCUUUCAACAGCUGAGUAGUGGGAACUGGCACCGCUGCUGGGAUCGAUGUGGGAGUGCUGCUCCAGCCCUUGGGGUUUAACUGGAGCGGAGCACCGAAAUGCCCCUGAGACCUGGCUCUCAGGUCCUCCUGAGGCUGUUUCAGACCCUUGGCUGGUGGUUUGGUGUUGCUCCAGCACAUUCCCACUCCCUUACUCUUUCCCCAGCAGCCCCUUUGCGGAAGACCAUGCUGGUGUCCCAGGAGAGCUGCCAGUGCCAGCUGCCUCUAUAAAUACUCCUGCUAUAAAUUCAGAGAGCUCGGUCCCUGGCAGGCACAGCCCUGCCUCUGAUCACCAUGUUGUAGGGUGCUGGGCUGGAAACUCGCAGACUGUGAGCACUGCCACAAGAGAAAGAGCUAUUAAUGUCUUGUUAGAAGGCUUACAUUUUGAUUUUCAAUUGAUUAAUAAAAGCGAUGCAAUGGUGGCUCUCUAGUACUGCAA